GACUUUUAUAGAUGGAUGUUCCGCACACAUACAGGGUUAAUAAAAAUCAAAAGUCGUUUUUUCUGCGAUGGUCAUUUCGGUACAAUGGAAUGUAAAACGUAAGACGAGUGUAUCGUUCUCAAACGCUCACUGUGGAUAUAUUUGAUCAGAACCCCUCGUGAGGUGUCUUGCAAGUGGUCAUCGAGAGGGCGGGGCAAGCGCACCUUGACGGCUCCUUUGAUGUGCUGAGGUAGUGUACCUGGAUGACGAGAACAUGACAGCUGACUCGAGCUGUGCUCAGGUGAGGAGCAAGGUAUGAAAGCGGAUGACGCAGAAGGGGAGGGAGGGUAAGCGCGAACGACGUUCGCACUCGGAGGAGUGGGGGAAAGGAUGAAGACCCUCGUGGACGCAGGAGCGGAGGGAUGGAGAGUGGCGGCAUGUGCUUGUGGAUGGAUUAACGUCAAGACAAAUGAAGAAGGGAACGAACAUUCCUUUGGAAAUUGAGGAAGUGCAGUCCGACCCAGUAAUGAAGCUGAAAUUGGAUUUGUUUGGCCUCUUAUCAGCAAACGAUACGGUGCAAAUAGUGACAUUUAUUUUAAAAGAGUUACAAUGGAGCAACACCAGUGAUGUGGUUCACAUGUUUGGUGGGAUCAGUAACUGGAGCAUUGAAGCGAAUGCCUACCUACACAUUAUCACAUAAUGAGUCACUUAAAUGUUUUUACGCUCAUAAAAUGAUAAUGAUUUGAGUAAUCCUUAUGCGUUAACCUGAUCAUAAAGUGCGCAAACCCUAUCUAUUAUCCUUUAUUCAGCAUAAAAUGUAUCAGGUCAAAACAAGGCUGUAAAAACAAGGAACAGCUGUAAUUCAUUUUCACAUAUUGAAGAGACACAGGUGGUCUAAUCGUCAAAGGCGACGCAAUGAGCUGUGCAGAGUUGUGUCCCUUGGGCGCGCCUGGAACCUGUGAUCAUUGGUUCGAAUCCCGGUUUUCCCUGAUUAUGUUUCAUGGUUUGCCAGCACUAUACACGUGUUCCAGGGCUUCAUCGAAGUGCUUCACGUCAAAGGAGUACGUCACUUCGGGCUUUACUUCAUCAACGCCGCGAUAUAAGCAGGAUACUGUCAACAUGACGUAAUACCCACCUCACUCUAAGGUGCAAUGUAUCGAAUGUCUGUGGCAGUGUUCAAUAUAUGGAUCUUUAGGAUUAGCAAAUGUUUCUUUUAGAUAUGAAUACAGUAUGGCAGGUUACAAACAUGUACGGCGCAUGUAAUUACAUGUAAUGUCAUGUAACGUUUUGUCACAUUUUUAUAGUGUAGCUAGAACUGAACGAACUUGAUCUUUUGUUUGUCCAAGAGAAUAACAUUUAUUCGUGAACAAUAUCUAGACUGAUGAUAGUAACAGCCACAGUGUCCAUGGUAACAGUAGCAGUGGUAGGGGAGUAGCAGUUACUUGAGAUGGUUAGAAACGUCAUUGUAUGGUAGGGGUAGUUGUAGCGUCAGGUUGCAGAUAUAGUGUAGGUGAGGUAGCAGUAGGGGGAGUGACAGUAACAGCAGCAGCAGCAGUAGGGAAAGCACAGGUAGCAGUAGAUGAAGAAGUAGUAGUAGUAG